rnacentral:tRNA from 1 species
GGUGGCUUAGUGGUAGAGCACUUGCCUUGCAUGCACGAGGCCCUGGGUUCGAUUCCUCAGCACCA